AGCAGCAGCGCAGACACCUCGGAGGGGGAGUGCCCGCCAUGCUGCAUCGCCUCAGGGUGUUCGCCUGCAACAGGAUAUACACGUUAGGGAUUUAUGGAAGAGAACACACGUGAGGAAGGAAGGAUGCUCUCAGCGGCAGCAGCCUUGUCGCCGCCCCUGAAGGCGAGUGCGGCGAGUGGCAGCGUCGCUACAAACACAGAGGGAGAGGGAGACAGAUCCACGCACGAACACAGACAGAAGAAAAGAAAAGAUGUACACCUUUGAUGUUUGUAAUGAGAUUCUUGAAUGAAAAGAACAGUCUUUAUUUAAA